rnacentral:lncRNA from 1 species
AUCUUUGGGGUUCAUCUUUAGAUUUCUAUUUCCUUUUUUGGGUUUCAUUCUGAUAACCUUUUUCUUUGGUGUUCGCUGGUUAGCGUUUGUUAUUGUUGGGAGUCGGAUGUANGUCCUAGCGAGCAUGUCUCCCCUUCCCCGAACUACGUUGACUCUGAUGUUUGUUUCUGACAAACUACGUAGGCCCAGGAUGCGACAUCCUGCCGAGUCCUU